rnacentral:rRNA from 1 species
GACGAACGCUGGCGGCGUGCUUAACACAUGCAAGUCGAGCGGUAAGGCCCUUUCGGGGGUACACGAGCGGCGAACGGGUGAGUAACACGUGGGUGACCUGCCCUCAGCUCUGGGAUAAGCCUGGGAAACCGGGUCUAAUACCGGAUAUGACUCCAUGACGCAUGUUGUGGGGUGGAAAGCCUUGUGCGGCUGAGGAUGGGCCCGCGGCCUAUCAGCUUGUUGGUGGGGUGAUGGCCUACCAAGGCGACGACGGGUAGCCGGCCUGAGAGGGCGACCGGCCACACUGGGACUGAGACACGGCCCAGACGCCUACGGGAGGCAGCAGUGGGGAAUCUUGCGCAAUGGGCGAAAGCCUGACGCAGCGACGCCGCGUGAGGGAUGACGGCCU